UGGGGAAUAUUGGACAAUGGGGGGCACCCUGAUCCAGCGAUGCCGCGUGUGUGAAGAAGGCCUGCGGGUUGUAAAGCACUUUUAUAGGGGGAGAAGAGAGGAAGUCGAAUAGACUUUUGAUUUGACGGUACCCUAGGAAAAAGCACCGGCUAACUCUGUGCCAGCAGCCGCGGUAAUACAGAGGGUGCGAGCGUUAAUCGGAAUAACUGGGCGUAAAGGGCGAGUAGGCGGAUAGAUAAGUGAGGUGGUAAAGACAUGGGCUCAACCUGUGGGUGACACCUUAGACUGUCAGUCUAGAGAGCAGGAGAGGGGAGUGGAAUUUCCGGAGGAGCGGUAAAAUGCGUAGAUUUCGGAAGGAACACCGGUGGCGAAGGCGACUUUCUGGCCUGCAUCUGACGCUGAGGCGCGAAGGCGUGGGGAGCAAACAGGAUUAGAUACCCCCGUAGUCC
rnacentral:rRNA from 1 species